GACGAACGCUGGCGGCGUGCUUAACACAUGCAAGUCGAACGAUGAAGUUCCUUCGGGAAUGGAUUAGUGGCGAACGGGUGAGAAACACGUGAGAAACCUGCCUUUCAUUUUGGGAUAACUCCGGGAAACCGGAGCUAACACCGAAUACUCCGUCUCGGCGGCAUCGCUGAGCCGGGAAAAAAUUAUGAUGAAAGAUGGUCUCGCGGCCUAUCAGCUAGUUGGUGAGGUAAUGGCUCACCAAGGCGACGACGGGUAGCCGGCCUGAGAGGGCGACCGGCCACACUGGGACUGAGACACGGCCCAGACUCCGACGGGAGGCAGCAGUGGGGAAUAUUGGGCAAUGGGCGCAAGCCUGACCCAGCGACGCCGCGUGAGGGAUGAAGGCCUUCGGGUUGUAAACCUCUUUCAGUAGGGAAGAAGCGAAAGUGACGGUACCUAAAGAAGAAGCACCGGCUAACUAUGUGCCAGCAGCCGCAGUAA
rnacentral:rRNA from 1 species